rnacentral:rRNA from 1 species
CCUAAUACAUGCAGUCGAGCGAUGAGGCUCCUUCGGGAGUACAUCAGCGGCGAACGGGUGAGUAACACGUGGGUGACUUGCCCCGAAGAUGGGGAUAGCCUCGGGAAACGGGGGCUAAUACCCAAUGUGCUCGGUGAUUCGGUUCAUCGAGUAAAGCUCCGGCGCUUCGGGAGAGGCCUGCGGCCCAUCAGCUAGUUGGUAGGGUAACGGCCUACCAAGGCAGAGACGGGUAGGGGGCGUGAGAGCGCGGACCCCCACACUGGCACUGAGAUACGGGCCAGACUCCUACGGGAGGCAGCAGUAAGGGAUAUUGCGCAAUGGACGAAAGUCAGACGCAGCGACGCCGCGUGGGCGAUGAAGGCCUUCGGGUUGUAAAGCCCUUUUAUGGGGGAAGAGAAAAAGGACGGUACCCCAGGAAUAAGUCCCGGCUAACUACGCGCCAGCAGCCGCGGUAAAACGUAGGGGACAAGCGUUAUCCGGAUUCACUGGGCGUAAAGAGCGUUGAGGCGGUUCCGUAAGUUGGGCGUGAAAGCUCCGGGCUUAACUCGGAGAUGUCGUUCAAUACUGCGGGGCUUGAGGACAGCAGAGGAAGGUGGAAUUCCCGGUGUAGUGGUGAAAUGCGUAGAUAUCGGGAGGAACACCCGUGGCGAAGGCGGCCUUCUGGGCUGUUCCUGACGCUGAAGGCGAGAGCUAGGGGAGCGAACGGGAUUAGAUACC